rnacentral:rRNA from 1 species
UCGGCUUAGAGUUUGAUCAUGGCUCAGAUUGAACGCUGGCGGCAGGCCUAACACAUGCAAGUCGAGCGGUAGGGAAGCUUGCUUCCCACGAGCGGCGGACGGGUGAGUAAUGUAUGGGGAUCUGCCCGAUAGAGGGGGAUAACUACUGGAAACGGUAGCUAAUACCGCAUAAUCUCUCAGGAGCAAAGCAGUUCGUUGCGCUAUCGGAUGAACCCAUAUGGGAUUAGCUAGUUGGUGAGGUAAUGGCUCACCAAGGCAACAAUCCCUAGCUGGUCUGAGAGGAUGAUCAGCCACACUGGGACUGAGACACGGCCCAAACUCCUACGGGAGGCAGCAGUGGGGAAUAUUGCACAAUGGGCGCAAGCCUGAUGCAGCCAUGCCGCGUGUAUGAAGAAGGCCUUAGGGUUGUAAAGUACUUUCAGUUGGGAGGAAGGCGUUGAUUAAUAUCAACGAUUGACGUUACCAACAGAAGAAGCACCGGCUAACUCCGUGCCAGCAGCCGCGGUAAUACGGAGGGUGCAAGCGUUAAUCGGAAUUACUGGGCGUAAAGCGCACGCAGGCGGUUGAUUAAGUUAGAUGUGAAAUCCCCGGGCUUUACCUGGGAAUGGCAUCUAAGACUGGUCGGC